rnacentral:tRNA from 2 species
GCAGAGGUGGCGGAGUGGUCAAUCGCAUUGGACUGUAAAUCCAACGUCUUCGGACUACACAGGUUCAAAUCCUGUCCUCUGCA